AUGCUAAGGCGCCGAGAAGGCGAUAAAUCGGUGAUAGACGGUUUUACCUUGAAUCGGCGAUGGCGGAGCAUUCGGUGUCAUAUUCGUAAUGUUGAAGAUGAUGUUGUUGUUGAUGGAUGCGGAGGAGCUGCAAUUUUUGAUGAAGGCAAGGCCGUGAUGAUGAUUAAAGAUGCGCAAAGAGAGGGAGCUGAGAGAUCAUUUUCAGAGAGAGUGAAGAAUCACUGUAAUUGCCAGGUGAAUAAGCUGAUGCAGGGCCUGUUUUAUGGUUCAUGUUGCAAUGCUUGGAGGAAAUAUGAAGGCACAUGGUUAUGA